GCCAGCAUGGCAUAGUGGUUUGAGUGUUAGGACUACACAUCUACAGACCAGGGUUUGAUUCCUUGUUCAGCCA